rnacentral:lncRNA from 1 species
UUACGAUUUUGUAAUUUAUAUAUAGUCGUUUUAAAAAAAGUUUAAAAUAUAAUAUAUAAGAAAAAAUCUAUUUUUUUAUUAUAUGCUUAAUGUGAUUGUUUAAUUUGUUUUAAUAAUAUAAAAUUAAACAAAAAGAGAGAGGAUACAAAAAUUAUUAUCAAAUAUGUAUUAUUCAUAAUCAAUAAUUGUCAUAUACUCUCUCCGUUUCAAAAUACUUGAUGUUUUGCCUUAGUGCACAAAGAUUGAGAAAGUUAGAUUUCAGAAAUUUUUUUUUUAAAAAAAUAUAGUUUUUAAAUCAUUUAACCAAUUAUAAAAAAGACGGUAAAAUAUAAUUG